CAGAUACUCCCUCCGUCCCAAAAUUCUUGUCUUAGAUUUGUCUAGAUACGAAUGUAUCUAACACUAAAACGUAACUAGAUACAUCCGUAUUUAGACAAAUCUAAGACAAGAAUUUUGGGACGGAGGGAGUACUUA
rnacentral:pre_miRNA from 1 species